UACGUAGGUGGCGAGCGUUGUCCGGAAUUACUGGGCGUAAAGGGUGCGUAGGCGGUUUCUUAAGUCAGAUGUGAAAUCCCAGGGCUCAACCCUGGAGUGGCAUUUGAAACUGGGGAGCUAGAGUGCAGGAGAGGAAAGCGGAAUUCCUAGUGUAGCGGUGAAAUGCGUAGAUAUUAGGAAGAACACCAGUGGCGAAGGCGGCUUUCUGGACUGUAACUGGCGCUGAGGCACGAAAGCGUGGGGAGCAAACAGG
rnacentral:rRNA from 1 species